rnacentral:SRP_RNA from 1 species
GCCGGAGCCGUGGCGUGCUCUGUUAUCCUGCUUCUGGGAGGCUGGUCAAGGGGACGGUGUCAGGCCGGGGGCCCUGCGGGUGGAGCCGCGUAUGUUGACCGGGUGUCCGCACUAAGGUUGGCGUCGAUAUGCCCGAUUCUGGGGAGCCGGAUGUCGGACAGGUCGCUUGAGGAGACUCGCAAAGGCUCAGGGUGGAAACACAGCAGGCAAAAGAGUCCGCGUGAGCCAGUAGUAGGGUCGCACCCGUGAAUGCGCGUCUGCUCGUAGCCCGGCCGAAACGUCGGACCCAAGACUCU